rnacentral:lncRNA from 1 species
GCAAAUCGAGAUUAAUAUGACAAAAAUUAUCAUGUUUCUGUACGCUAUGAUUUUAUUUUUUACCCUCUUUCAAAUUGUAAAUAGUGCUGGCGGUAAGACAUUUUUUCAAAAAAAAAUUUCUUUUGUAUUUUCUACACAAUCUUUUAUCUCAUUUUAGAUUUGAUGUGUUCACUGGUAUAAGAGAAAAAUGAAAAAAAUUGAGAAGAGAGAAGUGUAAAUUGUUUUUGAAAGUACAAAAAUGCCCUUGUAUUAAAAGUACAUUCACAAAAAUUAAUUUAAUUUUUUUUUUCAAUUCAUUGUUUAAUUCAAGGGCAUAGAGAAUUUUUUAAGCAUUUUUGCACAUUCUUUCCUCUUUCUUCUCACUUUAGAGGAGUUCAGAAAACAAAAAAGGUACUGUAUGAGACCCACCAAAUAUUCUUUCCUCUUCUCAAUUUCUCUUCUUGCCAAACAAGAGAAAUUUCCAACUUCUCUUCUCUUUCUCUCUUCUCUAUCUCUCUCUUCUUUAUUUCUCUCAAAUCAAACAAAGCCUUAGCCAAUUAUUUUUUUUAGAAAUAUUUUAAAUAUUUAUAUUAAAUGAAAUAUCAACUAUUGACUACUUUUCAAGACACUAUGUGAGGAACUCAAGUUGUAAGGUUACGACUGCUGAGAUUAGAUUAGAAAACAAAAUGUAAGAUGUGAACUUUUCCACAAUUAGUAAUUUUUGUUAAAAAUGCAAGUGAAGUUAACAAAAAAAAUAUGACUAAGAUUCAAGAAAGUGAGUGACAUUGAGAAAGAGUGAUAAAGAGAGGUGAGAGCCAACGCCACAUACCAAGACACCACAUACCAAGGUGACUCCAGCCAUCACCUAAGGGCCAACCUUAUUAACCCCAUAAACAACUUGCCUCCCCCAGUUAGUGACUUUGUCUUACUCCCUUUAUAUUAGCUUUGGGUAAACAAUCAUCAUUUUAGUAAUUUAGUCCUUAAAUUUAUUUCAAGUUGCAAACAUAUUCACAAUUAUCUUUUUUUAUUAGUUAUUUGAUCAUUAAUUUUUUUUAAGUUGUCAAUUUAAUUUUCGAGUAUAUUUUUUAUUAAUCAUUUUUGUUCAUAAAAUUAGAAAUAAAAGAGAGAUUAAAAAUAUGUACUAUAUUAUGUUUAUAAUUUCGAUACAUUCAUAAACUAUAGCGACAAUACCUCAGAUGUUCAGAGAUUAAAAUGGUUGUUACUCGUUGCAUUCAAAAUAUUUAUUUGUUUUAUAUUAUUUGACAUUAAUAUCAAUUAAGUAUUAAAUAAAUUUAUUCACUAAAAUAUUUAUGGCUUAAUUACUGUUUUAGUCCUCUAAUCAACUUUUCACACUUAAAAAAUGGUGGCAUUAAGUUGAAAUUUAAGUUUUUAAUAGUAGUUUUUUGUUGUAUUAUUAUGAGUGUUGACCACUCCACAUCAUUGGAUCGAAUGCUGGAUUUUUAAAAAUAUGUCAAAUCAUAAUUUUUUUUGUAUAAAAAUAUGAUAGAAAGAUUAAAAUUAUGUGAUUUUAAAAUAGGGGAACUAAUUUUAUGAAUCAGUAAAUAUAGUGAGAUCCAAAAUUGUAAUUAAGCCAAAUAUUUAUUGUAUUUCAAUAUACAUUUAUUCAUUAAAAAGGACACCAAUAUGGACUCGGUUCAAAGGUGUACCUUACUAUUUUUAAUAAAUGUUAUGUAAUUUUUAUGGACUAAAUUGCAAACAUAUCCUAAAUGCCUUUUUUUUUAGCAUUUUUAUGUACUAAAUUGACAAUUAAAAAAAAUUGAGAAUUAAUUUUUGAAUAGCUAAAUAUAUAUUUGUGGAACAAAAUAAUUAAUAAAUAAAAUAUUUAUGAAUGUGUUUACAGGAUUAUAAUGAUAACUCAUCACAUAUAAAGAUAGUAAUGUAGCAACAUUACAUGAUAAUACAGGAUAAACAAGACAAAGUUUAACGUAUCGAAUAAAUUUUAUUUUGUAUGAUAUUUGAUGGACAAAAUGUUAUUUUAGACAACUUGUGUAAAACACGUAAAGUUGUCUCGUGAUUCAGUAAAUGAUAGGAAUUUCAGUUUUUG